rnacentral:rRNA from 1 species
UACGGAGGGUGCAAGCGUUGCUCGGAAUUACUGGGCGUAAAGGGCGCGUAGGCGGCCUGCUAAGUCGGAUGUGAAAUCCCUCGGCUCAACCGAGGAACUGCAUCCGAUACUGGCGGGCUUGAAUCCGGGAGAGGGAUGUGGAAUUCCAGGUGUAGCGGUGAAAUGCGUAGAUAUCUGGAGGAACACCGGUGGCGAAGGCGGCAUCCUGGACCGGUAUUGACGCUGAGGCGCGAAAGCUAGGGGAGCAAACGGG